ensembl:snRNA U7 U7 small nuclear RNA
UGGUGUUACAGCUUUUUAAGAAUUUCUCUUGCAGGUUUUCCGGUCUUCACCGGAAAGACCCUU